rnacentral:tRNA from 1 species
GCCCCCGUAGCUCAAUGGACAGAGCAUCUGCCUUCUAAGCAGAGGGUUGGGAGUUCGAUCCUCUCCGGGGGCA